rnacentral:lncRNA from 1 species
AUGUUUCUGCCACUGUUUUGCUUUUGCUGAGUAGAUCUUCUAUUAUCUUCCAGACACUGAAAGACCUAGAGAGAAGAUGUUGACUUUAAGCCAUCGGAAACAAGCUGGACUUCCUCUAGAAACCUCUAAAGUUCAACAGUUAAUCAAACGAGGGAGGGGGACUUGACCAGGAAUACCUGAGACUACUCUUCCUGAAGCUCCAGCCUAUGUUCUUUGCAGAGGAACUGCAACGGUUUCAACAGCUCAGACUACCCUGGGCCAUCUAGCAGUGAUGGAUGCGAGACAAGCUGCAUACCAGAAAUACAAAUGUAAGCUUGAGCAGCUGUUCGCCCAGAUCAAGGAAGAAAGUGCAGCUCGGCUGCUGGCAAUUCAGCGUUGGCAAGAUUGGUGGGAACAAUCCAUCCAAAAGAUGAAGCAACUCUACCUCUGAGAGCAGUCAAUUCUUGCUGAAUCUUUGUUGGUGUAAAUUGACAAGUUUGUGAUAAUGUCAGCAAUGUUACAGAGUUAGUGCAAUAGAGUUUUUUUCUUUUAUCUCACUAAU